rnacentral:rRNA from 1 species
CAGUAGCCGCGGGAAUACGUAGGGUGCGAGCGUUACUCGGAAUUACUGGGCGUAAAGCGUGCGUAGGUGGUGGUUUAAGUCCGUUGUGAAAGCCCUGGGCUCAACCUGGGAAUUGCAGUGGAUACUGGGUCACUAGAGUGUGGUAGAGGAUAGUGGAAUUUCCGGUGUAGCAGUGAAAUGCGUAAAGAUCGGAAGGAACAUCUGUGGCGAAGGCGACUAUCUGGGCCAACACUGACACUGAGGCACGAAAGCGUGGGGAGCAAACAGGAUUAGAUACCCCUGUAGUCCCUGUCUCUUAUAC